ACGGGUGAGGAAUACAUCGGAAUCUACCUUUUCGUGGGGGAUAACGUAGGGAAACUUACGCUAAUACCGCAUAAGACCUUCGGGUGAAAGCCGGGGACCUUCGGGCCUGGCGCGGAUAGAUGAGCCGAUGUCGGAUUAGCUUGUUGGCGGGGUAAAAGCCCACCAAGGCGACGAUCCGUAGCUGGUCUGAGAGGAUGAUCAGCCACACUGGAACUGAGACACGGUCCAGACUCCUACGGGAGGCAGCAGUGGGGAAUAUUGGACAAUGGGCGCAAGCCUGAUCCAGCCAUACCGCGUGGGUGAAGAAGGCCUUCGGGUUGUAAAGCCCUUUUGUUGGGAAAGAAAUCCUGCCGGUUAAUAACCAGUAGGGAUGACGGUACCCAAAGAAUAAGCACCGGCUAACUUCGUGCCAGCAGCCGCGGUAAUACGAAGGGUGCAAGCGUUACUCGGAAUUACUGGGCGUAAAGCGUGCGUAGGUGGUUGUUUAAGUCUGUCGUGAAAGCCCUGGGCUCAACCUGGGAAUUGCGAUGGAUACUGGGCGACUAGAGUGUGGUAGAGGAUAGUGGAAUUUCCGGUGUAGCAG
rnacentral:rRNA from 1 species